UAGGAGUUGUAUAUUAAUUAUUCGCUCCAU
rnacentral:sRNA from 1 species